GAUGAACGCUGGCGGCGUGCCUAAUACAUGCAAGUCGAGCGAACAGAUGAGGAGCUUGCUCUUCUGACGUUAGCGGCGGACGGGUGAGUAACACGUGGAUAACCUACCUAUAAGACUGGGAUAACUUCGGGAAACCGGAGCUAAUACCGGAUAAUAUAUUGAACCGCAUGGUUCAAUAGUGAAAGACGGUUUUGCUGUCACUUAUAGAUGGAUCCGCGCCGCAUUAGCUAGUUGGUAAGGUAACGGCUUACCAAGGCAACGAUGCGUAGCCGACCUGAGAGGGGGAUCGGCCACACUGGAACUGAGACACGGUCCAGACUCCUACGGGAGGCAGCAGUAGGGAAUCUUCCGCAAUGGGCGAAAGCCUGACGGAGCAACGCCGCGUGAGUGAUGAAGGUCUUCGGAUCGUAAAACUCUGUUAUUAGGGAAGAACAAAUGUGUAAGUAACUAUGCACGUCUUGACGGUACCUAAUCAGAAAGCCACGGCUAACUACGUG
rnacentral:rRNA from 1 species